AUUGAACGCUGGCGGCAGGCUUAACACAUGCAAGUCGAGCGGAGAGAGGUAGCUUGCUACUGAUCUUAGCGGCGGACGGGUGAGUAAUGCUUAGGAAUCUGCCUAUUAGUGGGGGACAACAUUUCGAAAGGAAUGCUAAUACCGCACACGUCCUACGGGAGAAAGCAGGGGAUCUUCGGACCUUGCGCUAAUAGAUGAGCCUAAGUGGGAUUAGCUAGUUGGUGGGGUAAAGGCCUACCAAGGCGACGAUCUGUAGCGGGUCUGAGAGGAUGAUCCGCCACACUGGGACUGAGAAACGGCCCAGACUCCUACGGGAGGCAGCAGUGGGGAAUAUUGGACAAUGGGCGGAAGCCUGAUCCAGCCAUGCCGCGUGUGUGAAGAAGGCCUUAUGGUUGUAAAGCACUUUAAGCGAGGAGGAGGCUACUUUAGUUAAUACCUAGAGAUAGUGGACGUUACUCGCAGAAUAAGCACCGGCUAACUCUGUGCCAGCCGCCGCCGUAA
rnacentral:rRNA from 1 species